rnacentral:piRNA from 1 species
UUCAAUGCAUUUUGCGACAUU